ensembl:snoRNA LOC120096799 small nucleolar RNA SNORA48
CCCCCCAGCAAUGGACAAAGAGACACCUUGUUGGUAGUGGCGUUCUUAUAUCAGUCAGGGGCAGAGAAGAUGCCAGUCUCUGUUCUGCCUGACUUGGUGGACAAAGCUGUUUUAUGUCUAGGACUCAUAA